rnacentral:rRNA from 1 species
UACGGAGGGGGCUAGCGUUGUUCGGAAUUACUGGGCGUAAAGCGCACGUAGGCGGCUUUGUAAGUUAGAGGUGAAAGCCCAGGGCUUAACCCUGGAAUUGCCUUUAAGACUGCAUCGCUAGAAUCGUGGAGAGGUGAGUGGAAUUCCGAGUGUAGAGGUGAAAUUCGUAGAUAUUCGGAAGAACACCAGUGGCGAAGGCAGCCCCCUGGGUCAAGAUUGACGCUCAGGCACGAAAGCGUGGGGAGCAAAACGAGG